rnacentral:lncRNA from 1 species
AGCUUCUGAAUCUACCUCUCAGAAGGCUUCUAGGGAGACUCUAGAUACUUUUACUGAAGAACCUAGAGCUGAUGGAGCUACUUCUGCUAGAACUGCUUCUAGUAAGUAUGUUCCUUCUGAAGCUCACUUACUUACUGUUGAUAAUAGUUCAUCCAUCCCAUCAACCAUCCUUACUUCAUCUACCCUCAUCCCACAUAUUUCUGAACCAAUUCACUUCCUUACACACAUUGCUCCCCACACUACAAAUCCAAAUGUCACCAACCACCACCCUCACCAUCAUAUUCUG